rnacentral:rRNA from 1 species
AGUGAACCAGUACCGUGAGGGAAAGGCGAAAAGAACCCCGGCGAGGGGAGUGAAAAAGAACCUGAAACCGUGUACGUACAAGCAGUGGGAGCACGCUUAGGCGUGUGACUGCGUACCUUUUGUAUAAUGGGUCAGCGACUUAUAUUCUGUAGCAAGGUUAACCGAAUAGGGGAGCCGAAGGGAAACCGAGUCUUAACUGGGCGUUAAGUUGCAGGGUAUAGACCCGAAACCCGGUGAUCUAGCCAUGGGCAGGUUGAAGGUUGGGUAACACUAACUGGAGGACCGAACCGACUAAUGUUGAAAAAUUAGCGGAUGACUUGUGGCUGGGGGUGAAAGGCCAAUCAAACCGGGAGAUAGCUGGUUCUCCCCGAAAGCUAUUUAGGUAGCGCCUCGUGAAUUCAUCUCCGGGGGUAGAGCACUGUUUCGGCAAGGGGGUCAUCCCGACUUACCAACCCGAUGCAAACUGCGAAUACCGGAGAAUGUUAUCACGGGAGACACACGGCGGGUGCUAACGUCCGUCGUGAAGAGGGAAACAACCCAGACCGCCAGCUAAGGUCCCAAAGUCAUGGUUAAGUGGGAAACGAUGUGGGAAGGCCCAGACAGCCAGGAUGUUGGCUUAGAAGCAGCCAUCAUUUAAAGAAAGCGUAAUAGCUCACUGGUCGAGUCGGCCUGCGCGGAAGAUGUAACGGGGCUAAACCAUGCACCGAAGCUGCGGCAGCGACGCUGAUGCGUUGUUGGGUAGGGGAGCGUUCUGUAAGCCUGCGAAGGUGUGCUGUGAGGCAUGCUGGAGGUAUCAGAAGUGCGAAUGCUGACAUAAGUAACGAUAAAGCGGGUGAAAAGCCCGCUCGCCGGAAGACCAAGGGUUCCUGUCCAACGUUAAUCGGGGCAGGGUGAGUCGACCCCUAAGGCGAGGCCGAAAGGCGUAGUCGAUGGGAAACAGGUUAAUAUUCCUGUACUUGGUGUUACUGCGAAGGGGGGACGGAGAAGGCUAUGUUGGCCGGGCGACGGUUGUCCCGGUUUAAGCGUGUAGGCUGGUUUUCCAGGCAAAUCCGGAAAAUCAAGGCUGAGGCGUGAUGACGAGGCACUACGGUGCUGAAGCAACAAAUGCCCUGCUUCCAGGAAAAGCCUCUAAGCAUCAGGUAACAUCAAAUCGUACCCCAAACCGACACAGGUGGUCAGGUAGAGAAUACCAAGGCGCUUGAGAGAACUCGGGUGAAGGAACUAGGCAAAAUGGUGCCGUAACUUCGGGAGAAGGCACGCUGAUAUGUAGGUGAAGUCCCUUGCGGAUGGAGCUGAAAUCAGUCGAAGAUACCAGCUGGCUGCAACUGUUUAUUAAAAACACAGCACUGUGCAAACACGAAAGUGGACGUAUACGGUGUGACGCCUGCCCGGUGCCGGAAGGUUAAUUGAUGGGGUCAGCGCAAGCGAAGCUCUUGAUCGAAGCCCCGGUAAACGGCGGCCGUAACUAUAACGGUCCUAAGGUAGCGAAAUUCCUUGUCGGGUAAGUUCCGACCUGCACGAAUGGCGUAAUGAUGGCCAGGCUGUCUCCACCCGAGACUCAGUGAAAUUGAACUCGCUGUGAAGAUGCAGUGUACCCGCGGCAAGACGGAAAGACCCCGUGAACCUUUACUAUAGCUUGACACUGAACAUUGAGCCUUGAUGUGUAGGAUAGGUGGGAGGCUUGGAAGUGUGGACGCCAGUCUGCAUGGAGCCGACCUUGAAAUACCACCCUUUAAUGUUUGAUGUUCUAACGUUGACCCGUAAUCCGGGUUGCGGACAGUGUCUGGUGGGUAGUUUGACUGGGGCGGUCUCCUCCUAAAGAGUAACGGAGGAGCACGAAGGUUGGCUAAUCCUGGUCGGACAUCAGGAGGUUAGUGCAAUGGCAUAAGCCAGCUUGACUGCGAGCGUGACGGCGCGAGCAGGUGCGAAAGCAGGUCAUAGUGAUCCGGUGGUUCUGAAUGGAAGGGCCAUCGCUCAACGGAUAAAAGGUACUCCGGGGAUAACAGGCUGAUACCGCCCAAGAGUUCAUAUCGACGGCGGUGUUUGGCACCUCGAUGUCGGCUCAUCACAUCCUGGGGCUGAAGUAGGUCCCAAGGGUAUGGCUGUUCGCCAUUUAAAGUGGUACGCGAGCUGGGUUUAGAACGUCGUGAGACAGUUCGGUCCCUAUCUGCCGUGGGCGCUGGAGAACUGAGGGGGGCUGCUCCUAGUACGAGAGGACCGGAGUGGACGCAUCACUGGUGUUCGGGUUGUCAUGCCAAUGGCACUGCCCGGUAGCUAAAUGCGGAAGAGAUAAGUGCUGAAAGCAUCUAAGCACGAAACUUGCCCCGAGAUGAGUUCUCCCUGACCCUUUAAGGGUCCUGAAGGAACGUUGAAGACGACGACGUUGAUAGGCCGGGUGUGUAAGCGCAGCGAUGCGUUGACUAACGACGGUACUAAUGAACCGUGAGGCUUAACCUU